CAUUCACUCACUUUUCUCUCAUCUUCCCCUCCCUCAGAAAAAAAAACCCUCACUCAAGAUUUAACGAAGGAAUCAGUUUCAGUAUGAAGUAAAUCAGAAAUCCUACAUCCUCAUUGUUGAAGAAGCGAAACCAAAUCUCAAGAUCUCUUCAAAAUGUUUCAAUUAAAAGUCAAAAUCGAACUCCAAAUUUUUCUUCUCGCUCUGUUUUCUAACUCUGCAAUUCGUGAAACCCUAACCCAAGUUUCGUUUGCUUCCAUUGCUUCAAAUUAGGUGGAGAUUUUGUCAUUGCUACUGCUACAGAUCGAGAAGAAGAGGAGGAUUACUCUGAAUAGAAGCUAGGGUUUGUGUGAUUCGAUUUGACAUUGAAGAUUUGAAGAUUUAUUGGUUUCCAUCAAGAAUAGAAAAUCUAGGGUUUGUGUUUGUUGUUGGUUUUGAUGAGAUGGAUGGCUAUUUGAAAGUUUGAGAAGGAAUUGAUGAUAUUAAUGGGUCUUUGCAGUAAUGAAUUUGAUACCAGAUACGGUGAUUGAGAUGAUUUCUUUAUUAUUUAGAUAAAGGUCAACUCUUUUGUAGAAUUUGUUUGAAGGGUUUGUUGAAUCUGUUUGAAGCAGAGAAGGAGAUCCAUAAUAAGAUGAGUUGCAACAGAGUUAUGACGAGAUUGAGAAGAAUCAGUUGCAGAUGGUGAAUCAGGAUUCUGAAAUAAGAUCGAAUUGGAUGAAUUUGGGGGUUUCUUUUGGUUGAUGGUUGUUUGCUGAUACUAAAAUUGUUUGAGAUGGAGAUAAUGCUAUUGUGUCGUGUUAUUUGGAAGUCUGGGAAUGAAAAAGAGAUGGGUCUGAAACGAAUUGAAGUUUCUGGUUGUGAGCUGCUGAUGGGACUGACAGAGACUGGUGUUGUUGAUGACUGAUAUUUGACUGUGUGUAUGGAAUUGCAGUGAUGGGUUGAGAUGGAACUGUAUGUUAUGUUAAGAUGGGUUUGUAGUGUAUGGCUGUGGUUGCCAUCAGUUGAUAACAAGAACGGGUUUGUGGCUAUGUAGGUUUGUUGAUCUUAAUGGUGCAGGAAAUCAAUGUUGAAGAUAAAGAUCAUACUAAAGCUGCAGGGAGUAAAUGGAGAAUGGGUGAGAAGCUCUGCUGGUGAUACGAAGGAUUUAGAUGAAUGUUAGGUGGUCUGUAGUGGUAGCUGUUGUGUUACAGGUUGGGAGAACGCAGAAAAUGCAGCGGUGUCCUUCAAGAAGCGGCUUGAAACUGCAGUUCAGAAGAAUUCAGCGCUUGAAGAUCAGGUAGGUCAUCUCGAUGGGGUUUUGAAGGAGUGUGUCAGACAGCUUAGGCAAGCAAGAGACAUACAAGAACAAAAGUUUCAUGAAGCUAUCAUUUAGGCUUUUGAGAUUGACCAUUUGAUGCUACCCACAAGAGAUUAUCUCUUUGGUCCAUCGUACGACAAUAUAUGCCGUCUUGUAGACUUCAUCCACAAGAAUGCUGCAAGUGAGAAGCACUACCAUGUUCAUUGUAAAUUUGAUUAAGGAUGAUUGUCUGAUUAAUUAGCUCUCUUAGAAUCCACUGUGGGCACUAUUCGUGGUGUUAGUUUAUGCGUUAGGUAACCUUUAAUUCAUUGGGCAUGCCAUUUCUUCCAAGAUGGAUGUGCUGAGUUUGAGUAUCAUAGGAGGCCCUAAUACUCAGGGUUUUCUUUAUAUUGAGAAGGUAAACAUUUCAUGGAUAACUUACUUGGUUGUUUAAAAUAUUAGAAUUAUCGUUUCUGAAAGAUCUUGAUAACUUGGUAUAUUAUUUCGGUUUCUUUGUGUUCUGCGUUGCCAUUGUUAAAUUGUUAUAUGAACUAAUCUCUCAGCGUGUUUUGUAUAGGAUUCAUGAAGAGAAUAACUUGGUAUAUUAUUUCGGUUUCUUUGUGUUCUGCGUUGCCAUUGCUAAAUUGUUAUAUGAACUUAGGAUUCAUGAAAAGAAUGAUAUCUCAAGAUCGUAAGGAGUGUAGGUAAUAACGAGAUAGAUUGCAAAUGGAGAAAUGGAUGAAGCUCAGCAAAUUGAGAAAUGUAUGCAUUGCAGGUCUGUGUUUCUAGUUAGAUUGUAGCCUGGAACUCCGACAGGUUCAGGGUGAUCGGAGGGCACCUUUUUUUUAUUUGAAUGUAACGAAUAUUCUAACGGAAAUAACCGGAUCAAUUUUUGAAAGCUGUGACUAAAU